rnacentral:lncRNA from 1 species
CCCGAAGGCUCGCGCUACAGUUGUUGGUCCCUAUCUCUGCAGCAGCCAGAACAAAUCUAAUUUCCUCGAGGGGAAUCGAUGGUUUUGUUCCACAGACUUUACUAUUAAAAGUGACUUCCUGAGAAAUGGAGCUACGAUAUCGAGUUUGCCAAGUAGGCGACACAAAGACUUCAAUUCCCAGGAGGCACUGUGGGUAUCCUAGGUUCAGGCUCGAGCUUUGCAUCAUGGGAUUUGUAGUUAUCACUGGCUUGGGGUUCUCUCAAAGAGGCUUCCAACAGAAGGUGUGGCCCAGAUUAAAGGUCUGUAUUAAAGGCCCAUGUCAUCCACCGUCAAGACCCGGAUCAAAGACAUGUUGUCUUCCUGCUUCAAUUCUGGAUCACAGGUGGCACUCUCGUAAUCUUGCUAUUUAGGAUCUGUACUGUACUUGCUCUCCUUUGUCACUUUCAUGACAUUGUGAGUCUAGAGAAAGAACCACAGGUGAUCUCUUUCUGGAGCUCUGGGAGGUCAACAAAGCAGCAGCGUGGCGACAUGACACAUGACACUAUCCCCAUGAAUCUGUGACCUCUCCAGCUUCUUACAUUCAGAGUGACAAUCAUUUGAAACUCGUAAUGGCUCUGAGAUGACUGCUGCCAUUGGUUAUUUUUCAUGCUGUGUGGAAAUCCUCCUACUGGGAACAUAUCAAAGUGAUACAAAACUUCCCUCAAAAUUACAUUCAUAGCUUUGGACCUGAGAACAUGAAUGCUGUCCACAGGAAAAGCCUUUGUUCUCCUGAGAAGAAUCUUAUCCAUUUUCUUGGGCUCAGACGGCCAGUUCAUACUUCCUUCUUCUCUGAAUGCAGCUACACUCUGUUGUUUUUAGGUGUCUUUGACUUUCCAAUGGUUAACUUCUGCUGCAUUUUCAAAUAGUACCUGACACUUGGGAGAUUAUUGUGCACUUUAUAUAUAAGGACUGUCUCUGCACUGGGCCUUUAGGAGUUAGCAGGAAUUGUUAAAGGAGGGAGGGUGGUCUUUUUACAUAUAGUGAAAGGCUUGAGAGAGGACACAGCACCAAGUGUGAGGUGUUGAGGGUUAGGGGUUAGGGAACUGAUGGAACUGAAAGGUGUUUGUAGGCUGUCACUAGACAUAGAGAUGAGCUUCUGAUUGUCCUUCAGACUACCUCAAAUGUGACCUUAUCAGUAAUGGCUUCCUGUUCACCCUAGAUGGAAUUCAGAAAGCCACCCUCUAUUGUUCUUGGUUCAUGAAUGUAGGCUGACAUCAUAUUAUAUCAUAGGUGCUUACUGGUUGAGCCUCAGAACUGGACUAUGUAUUAGAUAUCUAUCUGCCCACAAAGCUUUAACACCAAAUAAGGCAUACUCCCCAUAAUUUCAAUUUUUAAAAAUACCUGGUUCUUUUUCCACGUUUACAUUUUCACCAGAUAUUUUAGAUAUUUGUACUUCUAGUUCUAAUUUUUUUCUUAAGCUUUGAUGAUGUAUCUAGUUCUAAUUUGCAAAGCAAAAUCUAAAUACUUUUCAGAGACCUAUGAGCUCCAUCCCAAAAUUUAAUUAUCCCCAGAACAAUCAGCUACUUACCGGAAACCUACCAUAGGGAAUGCACCUCAAAGGCCAGCUGUACCCAUUAUUUGACACGCUGAGUGCUCGUCUUUCUCUUUAUAUGAUUUUCUGAUGCUUUUGCCUCUGACUUUCCUGUGUCCUGCAUGCCAGUUAAGGGGCUGAGCCUUAGGCCAGUCACUUUACACCAUUCCCACAUUCCUUUUGACAAACCCCUGUGUGGCUUUGCCUUCAUCUCCACCAAACAGGAUUAUCUCUGUGUUAACCUGUUGGACCAGAUUAUAAACACCUUGAGGGCAAGAAAGAUGGGUUUUCUUCUCCACUGGUUGGCAGAACCUCCAACUAAGUUCUGUAGGGCUAAGUUGAACAAAUAAAUGAAUGUAAAUAAGUGAAAGAAAUUUUCA